ACGUUAUACACUAGUAAGAAACAGGGGUGUUGCCAUGUUUUCUUUCUAAUUCAGCAGGUCUCACUGCUGGGUGGUGGUGGUGAGUGAGUAACUAAAUUAAGUAAAGCUAAGCUAAGCUACGUAAACAAAACUAUAUAUAAAAAAAAUUAUAGUCAAACAAUCUCUGGAUAUUAAUCUACACAGAUUUCUCUCCUGAAAACAAUUUAUUUGGGAGGCAGAGUGAUGUUCCGGCCGCACGGCUCUCUCGCGGGGGACUGAGGUCAGACGGGGAACAGAGUGGAGGAAAGAGUCUAGAGAGUGUGGAGAGACGAGAAGUGCGGAGAAGACCACACUGACCAUCUGUAGAAGAGUGAAGGAAACUUCUGUCUGUGCUUAUGGUCCAC